GUAAUUAGCCCAACUCAGCUUGGUGAAGGCUCUGAUGCACAUUAAGUCAUGACACAAGGAAGUUACACAGGAAGUGGACGGGAACGGUGGUUUGCGUCUGUGAACAAAAAAUAACUGUCUUAUAGCCGUCUACCAGCGGCUGAAGCAACACAACGAGCCACUUACAAAACUCAUAGCUUUUUCCUCCAAGUGGAACAGAGAAAAGGAGCUUUGCGCAACUCAGGAUCACACAAAAGCCCCUGAGAAGCAGGAAGCAGCCAGCAGAAGAAGCCAUGCCCGUGUGCCUGUCCAUGUGUCAUUAGAAUGACAAAGGCAGCUCUCGCCAAGCUCCUCAUAUUAAUUUUGGUAGUUCUUGUCAUGUGUCUCCCAGAGUUUUUCACCGCACCUGAAGGAGUCAAGAUAUCUUUUACAUGCACAGCAAUGUGUCCAUCCUCUGAUGAUGAGAUGCAACAGUUAAUUUUCCUCAACAUUUCCCAAACUCACUUGAAGGAAACCAUCCUAGAAGUCUGCACGAGCUUCCUAAACAUGAGCUCUGAGAGAGAGACAUUUGAGCGCAGAGAGAGUGGGACACCAGAUGACCUUCAGUCGGCAUGGUUUAUAUGCGAGACAGAAAGUGACCUGCACACUAUGUAUCAGAGCAUCUCAGCAUCAGGGUCACCUGCCAGGGGGUCUUUGUUGAAUCCAGAACCGGGGUCUGUGACACAGGCUGUCACAGUGACAAGGUGUUUAAACACCAGCUUGUGCCACGGAGUGGACACGGGACAAAGUGCUUUUUAUUUCCUGACAGAAGACCUGUCCAGUCAAAGGACCCAACCUCCUUCCUCAAACCACACCUACUGUAUUGCUUACAUGGAAGGGAAGAAUAUCACAGACAUGAAUGCUACAGUGCAUGUCAACACCAUGUAUGACGAUUGGUCAUGUAAGGUUCGAAUCUUUUGGCUGACCUUGAUAUUAACAGUUGUCUUGCUGGUGCUUACCGUUGUACUGUGUCAAAUAUACUGGAAGACACGCACCUGCAGGAAUCCUGUUUGGUCAGGUUUCCUCCUCCAGAACACUGGGAUGCUUGACGCAGAACAGCCAGUUUGAUGUCCUUCUCUGGAGUCUAGUCCAAAACCGAAUAUCUCUCUUCAGGCUGCUCUGUUAUAAGCUUCCUAAUUACCAAUGGGUGCAGCUAAUUCCACAGAGAUCCUAUCCUAACAGCCGCUUUCCCUGUGAUUCCAGGGCUCUUCCCCACCCCCCCAUUGGGCCUGGUGGAGCCAAGAUGGUUCCAACUUUCACUAGAUCACAAUGCUUUAGUACAUUUGGUCCGAAUAAGAAACGUCUUGACAACGUCUUGUUUAGUAGUAGAGGAUUACACAAGAAGAAGUGAGAUAUCACUGCUGUAGUUGUUGCUUAUGGAAGCAGAUAUCAGUUGCAUGGAACAACUUCUAAUUGUAUUUGUAGACAUUUCAAAAGUACUAAAGAAAAACAGUAGCUAAUCCCCAAUUUUCCCAUUCAAAGUCAUAAUUGUGUCACCUGCUGUACUCUGGUGCACGGCUGACAGGGAUUAUAAGCACAGCAGUGAAACCAGGAACACAGCAGAAAGAUUUCAUUGGUCUCGAAAUAAUUGGGAUGCUUCUUUGAUACCAUGAAACUGUGUAAAAGAAACUGUGAAGAAUAGUCCUUUCUCUAUGCUAUUGAAAUGGUACAAAUGAGCUCUUUUUUUUUCCCCUCCAGGAAAACCACCAUUAUCAAACCAGAAUUGGGAAUAUCAAAAUGUUCUCAGCAACAUGUUAAGAGGGGAGGCAAAUCAGCACAAUCUGUCAAAUCCAACACGAAGAUCAGCAAUUGAUAGGCCGUUAACUCCAAUUCCCGAACAAGAAUCAGAAGAGGAUCAACCUAUUUAUCAGAAUGAAGGUUUUUUAGAAGAAACUGAGGAUGCAUAUGCUAAUGAACACUAUAUAUAAAGAGUGGUUUAGGUGGACAGGAACAGAUGACAGCUCAACUGAAUGUAACUCCUGCUAUGCAGAUACUAAGAUACUACACUUGGCACUGGUUCUGACAUUCCGGGUCAGCACCCGCAGUCACCCCAGAGGACCAAUGUGUAAGAAACUGUCAAAACAGAACUUCAGGAACAUAGAUAUAUGGAAUAUUUUUAUUUUUAUUAGACUGUAUUUUUAUACUUAUUUAUGAGAGGUUUAUUUUUUCAUUUGUUAAUAUGCUGAAAUGUAAAGCCUGUGUCAGAUAAUUUAUGGUUAAGAAUAAACUUUUUAAACAGUU